rnacentral:rRNA from 1 species
UACGUAGGGGCGAGCGUUGUCCGGAAUUACUGGGCGUAAAGGGCGCGCAGGCUGUUAUGCGAGUCUGCUGUGAAAUGUACCGGCUCAACCGGUGCCUUGCGGCGGAUACUGCAUAGCUGGAGUACUGGAGAGGGAAGUGGAAUUCCCGGUGUAGCGGUGAAAUGCGUAGAUAUUGGGAGGAACACCGGUGGCGAAGGCGGCUUUCUGGCCAGUUACUGACGCUCAUGCGCGAAAGCUGGGGUAGCGAACAGGAUUAGAUACCCCU